ACAGCAGUCGCCGCGGUAAAACGUAGGUGGCAAGCGUUGUCCGGAAUUAUUGGGCGUAAAGGGCUCGCAGGCGGUUUCUUAAGUCUGAUGUGAAAGCCCCCGGCUCAACCGGGGAGGGUCAUUGGAAACUGGGAAACUUGAGUGCAGAAGAGGAGAGUGGAAUUCCACGUGUAGCGGUGAAAUGCGUAGAGAUGUGGAGGAACACCAGUGGCGAAGGCGACUCUCUGGUCUGUAACUGACGCUGAGGAGCGAAAGCGUGGGGAGCGAACAGGAUUAGAUACCCCCGUAGUCCCUGUCUCUUAUAC
rnacentral:rRNA from 1 species